rnacentral:misc_RNA from 1 species
AGAGAGAGAGAGAAUCUCCACAUAUAUGGAAACAAUCAAUAAAAGAGACAAAGACUUAGUUUGGAUAAAAAAAUGAAUUUAUUCACGUUGACAAUGUUUUUUUUUUUACCAAUGAAGAAAUGGAUUCAUGUACAUCAAGUUUCCAUCUCCUGCUGUUUCACCAGCCAGAGAUUUUAUCAAUGUUUCUGUUGUUGAAGUUUUUAUUAAAAAGCAAUAAAAGUG